rnacentral:rRNA from 1 species
GACAGAGGUGCCAAGCGUUAGGCGGAAUCAUUGGGCGUAAAGCGCGUGUAGGCGGCUUGGUAAGUCGGGUGUGAAAUCCCGGGGCCCAACCCCGGAACUGCAUUCGAAACUGCCUCGCUAGAGUCCCGGAGAGGAAGGCGGAAUUCCCGGUGUAGAGGUGAAAUUCGUAGAUAUCGGGAGGAACACCAGCGGCGAAGGCGGCCUUCUGGACGGUGACUGACGCUGAGACGCGAAAGCGUGGGGAGCAAACAGG